ACUAGUUCCCCUUCUACGAAGAAUAGAAAAAGCAAGACCUACUUCAGGCAAAUUUAUGAUUCUAACUUUUGGCAAAUGGAGCCACUUCCAUUAAUCUUCCUGUGCAUUUGAACCUUAGCAGGACUCUAUAUAGCAGUCAGCGGCAUGGAUAACGACCCUUCUGCCUGCAAACUCGCUUUUAGAUGAGAACACAAGCUCCUAAGCCGGGAGUGAACUUAGAUCUCUGUCUACUGUGUGGGUUAUGGAGCUCAAGCUCGGCAGCAUGUGACUUUAACUGCCAGCCCCUGAGGAGGAAGAAGCUUCUGCCCGAUUCUCUUUUGCCAUUGGGUGCCCAGCUGUCGGAUGCUCAGCCAUUGGGUGAUCAGCAUUUGUUGAUAAGGCAGAGAACAAAUGCCUUGAAGGAAGAUGGGCUUAUUCAGACAGGCACUCUUUGCAUGAUUUCAUGCUGACUUGCAGAGGUACUAAUUUCCUCAUGUUAUUUUCCUGACUGAAGAUCAGCUAUGAGAUCACCUGUCUAUCCCCUAAGACUUCCUGAUAUUUUCUGUGUUGACAUAGUGUGCAUUCUAGUUAAGAUGUGUACCUUAAGAUAGAACGUUGCUUUUAUCUCUGAGGUAUGUAGAAAAGAGCAAUUGUUUCAGACGUAUCUCUUGAGCCCAAUAAACUAGUUGAAGAAAA
rnacentral:lncRNA from 1 species